GCGACCCCAGGACGGGCGAGGCCACCCGCCGAGUUUAAGCAUAUCNAUGAGCGGAGGAGAAG
rnacentral:rRNA from 1 species